UCUGGAGAGAGCUCCCACUGUGGCGAGUCCUGUCGUUGGAUUCCCGCGGCGCCCCGAAGCUGCUGGAAGGUACACAUCUUGGGAGUUUGCCCUUUGAAGCUCACCUGUGGACCUUUUUUCCUUUCGAAAAGAAGCAUAAGCUGCAAUAAAAAUUUGGUUUCAAGAUAACAAAGUCAGUCCCCAAAAAUCAGUAUUGAGAGUCACUGACAUUAAAUGAUGAAGAUACGAGGAUGGUGUGGGGACCUUUACUCUUCGAAGAUGAGCUAUACAUGCCCCUGAAAAGGCUGUCUGAAGACAGGGGAAGGCUGGAGAUGGCAACUUUGGCCUCUGCCAAGUACUCGUGCUAUUUUCUGUAUGUGAUACUAUCUGUUUUGUAACUCAGAGGCAACACCACAUACCUAGCAUAAGGCUUGAACUCCCUUUGGGGUUAUCAAUUACUUACAUAGCCUUCCUCUAAGGGAAGGCUUGCAAGUGGUUCAUAUUCGACCCUUCCAUGUGAUAAGCAUUCAUGUGGGCUUCACAAUGUAACAGAGGUACACAGAGAUUCUUGUAAACAGAAAAUUUUAUAAAACUGUUAACUGAUCUCACUUUGAAGAAGUCUUACUGACUAGAUGUCAUUUAUCAGAGUAGACAGGCUUAAAAUGCAUUGCUUGUACUAGACUGUUGUAAUGCAUUUUUUUGUUUUUGCAUUGGUUUUUAAUUCAUUUAAUUGGUUUACACUCAUUUUUUUUUUUACAUUCCAUUUUUGCAUUUGUAUGCCAGUUAAAAAUUAUGAAAUGGCACAUUGUGGGAUUUUGUUUAGCUAAAUUCUAGAAAAAUUGAAAGAUACCUUUUAUUCGACUUAAGCCUGAGGUUAUUCAGCACGGUGAUCUCUGCAUUUUUGAAAGGUUGUCUCGUCGUUUAAUAAACGUAAAUAACUUAAGCACAUUGGAAGAGCUAUUAAAUGAGAGCAGGAGAUUAAAAAGACAUGAUUUCUUACUUUAUCCACCUGACAGGAUAGCUUGCAUUGGUGAUUAACCUUGCAUUGUUAAAUUCAUUUCCUAAAUAUUUAGGUAAGUAGUUGGUUUGAUCAUUAUUUGUAAAGUAUUAGUAGUUGCAUGUUGAAUUAUCAUGUUAAGAUUUUUAGUUUGUUGUUCAUGUGAUAUGAAAGAUAACAAUUCCUAAAACUGAAUGCAUGCAUGGCUUAUUCAGCUCAGGUCACAUACAAAGAGAAAUGUGACGCUGCAAUAAACAUAGCAGAGCUAUCUGGGUUUGAAGCAAAAAGGCUAUGACGUUAGGUAUAUGCACUUUACAUUGUAUGUAUCUUUUUAGUUCUAGUGAACUCAUCUGGAAUCAUGUUACAGAAAAUGAUUCUCCAGGUCCAAACACAUUUAAGUUUAAUGACUGGGACUACUCUAACAAUUGCGGCUAUCUCAUUUUGUCUCAUUGGUUCAUUAGCAUAGCACCCAUUUAAGAACAACU
rnacentral:lncRNA from 1 species